GAAGUGAAUGCUAAUAGAGGUUGCCAGGGGACCAAUUAGAAACGUAUUGAAGUAAGUCAGCUUGGAAGUAAUAAAGGAGAGAAGUCAACAGCUGGAAUCACACAAAAGGCUUGAUUGAUGGCUGCAGGACCCAGAUGGCAAACUCUAGAAAAUGUUGAUGGCAGAUAUCUUUACUGCUGGAACGUGCUCCUUCAGCGCUUACAUUUUAAUUAUCCUGCACUUUGUUCACGGAAGCUCGACACUGGUUGCACACGCUGGACCACGGGUACUGCAAAGCUGAAAAACAGACACUUCUGGAGUGUUCUCAGUCUGUUUUAAGGUAUUAAGAG